GAGCACGUGGCUCAAUAAUAGAGCGUUCGACAUAAAUACCAAAAAUCGCGGGUUCGAAUCCCAUGUGUUCU
rfam:Schistocephalus solidus strain NST_G2 genome assembly, scaffold: SSLN_scaffold0019323